rnacentral:rRNA from 1 species
UACGUAGGGUGCAAGCGUUGUCCGGAAUUAUUGGGCGUAAAGAGCUUGUAGGCGGUUUGUCGCGUCUGCUGUGAAAUUUCGGGGCUCAACCCCGAACUUGCAGUGGGUACGGGCAGACUAGAGUGUGGUAGGGGAGACUGGAAUUCCUGGUGUAGCGGUGAAAUGCGCAGAUAUCGGGAGGAACACCGGUGGCGAAGGCGGUUCUCUAGACAGUUCCUGACGCUGAGGCACGAAGGUCAGGGGAGCAAACGGG